AAUCAACGCUGGCGGCGUGCCUCAGACAUGCAAGUCGAACGCGAAAGUCCCCUUCGGGGGACAAGUAGAGUGGCGCACGGGUGAGUAACACGUAGGUAAUCUACCUUUGGAUGGGGAAUAACAACCGGAAACGGUUGCUAAUACCGCAUAAUGCAGCGGCACCUAAUGGUGACAGUUGUUAAAGCGGGGGAUCGAAAGACCUCGCGUCUGAAGAGGAGCCUGCGGCGGAUUAGCUAGUGGUAAGGUAAUGGCUUACCAAGGCUACGAUCCGUAACCGGCCUGAGAGGGCGGUCGGUCACACUGACACUGACAUACGGGUCAGACUCCUACGGGAGGCAGCAGUCGGGAAUUUUGGGCAAUGGGCGAAAGCCUGACCCAGCAACGCCGCGUGAAGGAUGAAAUCCCUCGGGAUGUAAACUUCGCAAGAACGGGAAGAAUAAGCGAGAGUUAAUAUCUUUCGUGAUGACGGUUACCGUUUGUAAGCUCCGGCUAACUCCGUGCCA
rnacentral:rRNA from 1 species